AAUGCCUAUUUGGCACAAAUUUCGAGAUUUCUACCAAUUGUUCGCAUUGCUACUCUAUCUCAAGCCGAACAAUCAGUAUACCAUACCGUUCAGGCCCAAAAAGAGUGAAAGCCUCGUGUGAAUAAGAAAUAAACAUGAUAGUUUUGUUCAGAAUUAACUUUGGAGUAGGAUUGUUUGGCAGUGUAACCCGAAAUGGAUGGUAAAGUCCAUCCAAGGCUAAAUACUUACACGAGCACGAUAGUAAACAUUUAUAGUUAGG
rnacentral:ncRNA from 1 species